GUGCUGGCCUAGUCGAGGGGAUACUUCGUCACACAUUGGUUGAACUUUAGUUUCUGGAUAACUGAACAUGUGGGUUCGAAUCCCACAGCGUCCCCUGAUGCCAUCCAGCAUUUUU
rfam:Crassostrea gigas strain 05x7-T-G4-1.051#20 contig2255, whole genome shotgun sequence.